rnacentral:rRNA from 1 species
ACGCUCGACACCUACGGGAUGCAGCAGUGGGGAAUAUUGCACAAUGGGGGAAACCCUGAUGCAGCGAUGCCGCGUGAAGGAAGAAGUAUCUCGGUAUGUAAACUUCUAUCAGCAGGGAAGAAAAUGACGGUACCUGACUAAGAAGCCCCGGCUAACUACGUACCAGCAGCCGCGGUAAUCUGAGCGGGCUGGCAAGGC